GAUGAACGCUGACAGAAUGCUUAACACAUGCAAGUCAACUUGAAUUUGGGUUUUUAACUUAGGUUUGGGUGGCGGACGGGUGAGUAACGCGUAAAGAACUUGCCUCACAGCUAGGGACAACAUUUGGAAACGAAUGCUAAUACCUAAUAUUAUGAUAAUAGGGCAUCCUAUAAUUAUGAAAGCUAUAAGCGCUGUGAGAGAGCUUUGCGUCCCAUUAGCUAGUUGGAGAGGUAACGGCUCACCAAGGCGAUGAUGGGUAGCCGGCCUGAGAGGGUGAUCGGCCACAAGGGGACUGAGACACGGCCCUUACUCCAACGGGAGGCAGCAGUGGGGAAUAUUGGACAAUGGACCAAGAGUCUGAUCCAGCAAUUCUGUGUGCACGAUGAAGUUUUUCGGAAUGUAAAGUGCUUUCAGUUGGGAAGAAAGAAAUGACGGUACCAACAGAAGAAGUGACGGCUAAAUACGUG
rnacentral:rRNA from 1 species